CGACAUGGAUAACCCUGGUAAUUCUGAGGCUAAUACAUGAACGUAACCCCUGACUGACCGGGUAACUGGAAGGUUGGGGAUAGUGUGAGUAGACGCAGAUAUUGCUGGGAAUAGGCGCACUGUCAAACCACCAUACCAAACGGUUAGGGUCCUGACCUCACGGGAGGGGCCCUUUCUGGGUGGGUCUUGCCAUGUGCUCCUGACCUAUCAACUAG
rnacentral:rRNA from 1 species